AACGUAGGUACCGAGCGUUAUCCGGAUUCACUGGGCGUAAAGCGUGUGCAGGUGGUUUGGUAAGUCGGGCAUGAAAACUCUUGGCUCAACUGAGAGACGCUGUCCGAUACUGUCAAACUUGAGGGUGUAAGAGGGAGGUGGAAUUCCGCAUGUAGUGGUGAAAUGCGUAGAUAUGCGGAGGAACACCAGUGGCGAAGGCGGCCUCCUGGUACACUCCUGACACUCAUACACGAAAGCUAGGGGAGCGAACGGG
rnacentral:rRNA from 1 species